rnacentral:rRNA from 1 species
UACGGGGGGAGCAAGCGUUGUUCGGAUUUACUGGGCGUAAAGGGCGCGUAGGCGGCGCAACAAGUCACUUGUGAAAUCUCCGGGCUUAACCCGGAGCGGUCAAGUGAUACUGUCGUGCUAGAGUGCGGAAGGGGCUACUGGAAUUCUCGGUGUAGCGGUGAAAUGCGCAGAUAUCAGGAGGAACACCGGUGGCGAAGGCGGGUCUCUGGGCCGAUACUGACGCUGAGGAGCGAAAGCGUGGAAGAGCGAACAGG